AUUGAACGCUGGCGGCAUGCUUUACACAUGCAAGUCGAACGGUAACAGGCCGCAAGGUGCUGACGAGUGGCGAACGGGUGAGUAAUGCAUCGGAACGUGCCCAGUCGUGGGGGAUAACUACUCGAAAGAGUAGCUAAUACCGCAUACGAUCUAUGGAUGAAAGCGGGGGACCGUAAGGCCUCGCGCGAUUGGAGCGGCCGAUGUCAGAUUAGGUAGUUGGUGGGGUAAAGGCUCACCAAGCCAACGAUCUGUAGCUGGUCUGAGAGGGCGACCAGCCACACUGGGACUGAGACACGGCCCAGACUCCUACGGGAGGCAGCAGUGGGGAAUUUUGGACAAUGGACGCAAGCCUGAUCCAGCAAUGCCGCGUGCAGGAAGAAGGCCUUCGGGUUGUAAACUGCUUUUGUACGGAACGAAACGGCUCUGGUUAAUACCCGGGGCUAAUGACGGUACCGUAAGAAUAAGCACCGGCUAACUACGUG
rnacentral:rRNA from 1 species